CGAGUCUUUUGCCCAGGCUUUUGCCCAUUAUUUUAUCUUUAAAGAACGCAAAUUUGCCAACGAUUGGGCGCUCAUAUCACUGUUCUCUCUGUCCGAAACGGUGUACACUUUCAAGUUUGAUUCAAUUUUGAUUUUGUCGACAGUGUCGUCUGGGAUCUGUUGCGCUUUAAAGAGGAAUUCUUUCACCAUGCUUUCAGGAUCUUCACCCUCAUUUUCUUCAAUACUAGUAACUACCAGAUUUUCUCACAUGGAUCUAUUCUGUAUUCCAAAUCUCCUGGUCCAGCCUGAUAUCUCCCUGACUCAAUGGGAGGGGUCUCCAGGGGCCACCUGGAGCCUGAGGUGUUCAGGGGCCACAGCUUCACCCUCACUUAUUCCACUCAGCCACAGUACCCAGGAGGCUCUUUCCACUUCACGUUCACCAGCUCCAACAGAACCCAGACAGCUGUAAAUCACUCUGCUGCCUUCCUCUUCCCUGCUGUAGAUGACUCCCACCAAAGGAAUUACAGCUGUGUUUAUGAGAAUUAUGUUUUCUCUCAUAACUUCUACUCUGAGAGUGAGUUCCUCUCCCUCACAGCCUCUCCUCUGCCCACCUUCAUCAUCAGACAUGUUGUAGUGCUGCUGAUCCUACUGACAGCCAUCACUGCCUUCUACCUGUACUUCAAGCGUGUUGUGCUCCAUAACAGCAAGGUGGGUCACCUCCCUCAUGCCGCCACUUUAGGGUAUUUUUCAGCAGGGCCUGUGGAAGGACUCCAGAUAACCUGAGUGUUACAAAGGGAAAAG
rnacentral:lncRNA from 1 species